rnacentral:tRNA from 1 species
AGUCAAUUAGUUUAAAUAACAUUUACCUUGAAAGUAAAAAAUAGAAAGAUUUACCCUUUCAUUGACUU